rnacentral:rRNA from 1 species
ACGCACGCUGGCGGCGUGCUUAACACAUGCCAGUCGCACGGAAAGGCCCUGCUUUUGUGGGGUGCUCGAGUGGCGAACGGGUGAGUAACACGUGAGUAACCUGCCCUUGACUUUGGGAUAACUUCAGGAAACUGGGGCUAAUACCGGAUAGGAGCUCCUGCUGCAUGGUGGGGGUUGGAAAGUUUCGGCGGUUGGGGAUGGACUCGCGGCUUAUCAGCCUGUUGGUGGGGUAGUGGCUUACCAAGGCUUUGACGGGUAGCCGGCCUGAGAGGGUGACCGGCCACAUUGGGACUGAGAUACGGCCCAGACUCCUACGGGAGGCAGCAGUGGGGAAUAUUGCACAAUGGGCGGAAGCCUGAUGCAGCAACGCCGCGUGCGGGAUGACGGCCUUCGGGUUGUAAACCGCUUUCGCCUGUGACGAAGCGUGAGUGACGGUAAUGGGUAAAGAAGCACCGGCUAACUACGUG